CCUACGGGUGGCAGCAGUGGGGAAUAUUGCACAAUGGGGGAAACCCUGAUGCAGCGACGCCGCGUGAGUGAAGAAGUAAUUCGUUAUGUAAAGCUCUAUCAGCAGGGAAGAAAAUGACGGUACCCGAGUAAGAAGCCCCGGCUAACGACGUGCCAGCAGCCGCGGUAAUACGUAGGGGGCAAGCGUUAUCCGGAUUUACUGGGUGUAAAGGGAGCGUAGACGGCAGUGCAAGUAUGAAGUGAAAGGCGGGGGCUCAACCCCCGGACUGCUCUGGAAACUGUACGGCUGGAGUGCAGGAGAGGUAAGUGGAAUUCCUAGUGUAGCGGUGAAAUGCGUAGAUAUUAGGAGGAACACCAGUGGCGAAGGCGGCUUACUGGACUGUAACUGACGUUGAGGCUCGAAAGCGUGGGGAGCGAACAGGAUUAGAUACCCUGGUAGUC
rnacentral:rRNA from 1 species